rnacentral:rRNA from 1 species
AGGAUGAACGCUGGCGGCGUGCUUAACACAUGCAAGUCGAACGGUGAAAGAGGAGCUUGCUCCUCUGGAACAGUGGCGAACGGGUGAGUAACACGUGGGAACACGCCUUCGAGUGGGGAAUAACGCUGAGAAAUCAGUGCUAAUACCGCAUAUGGUCUAACGACUAAAGCAGUAAUGCGCUCGGAGAGUGGCCCGCGUCCGAUUAGCUAGUUGGUGGGGUAAUGGCCUACCAAGGCGGUGAUCGGUAGCUGGUCUGAGAGGAUGGUCAGCCACACUGGGACUGCGAACGGCCCAGACUCCUACGGGAGGCAGCAGUUAGGAAUUUUCGGCAAUGGACGAAAGUCUGACCGAGCGACGCCGCGUGGAGGACGAAGCCUUUCGGGGUGUAAACUCCUUUUCUGCGGGAAGAUAAUGACGGUACCGCAGGAAUAAGCACCGGCUAACUACGUGCCAGCAGCCGC